AUCCAGCUGACAAGUCCCGAAUAAGACGGAACGCGUGUCAAACUGGAU
rfam:Schistosoma haematobium scaffold208_9, whole genome shotgun sequence.